rnacentral:rRNA from 1 species
CCCUUAGAUGUCCUGGGCCGCACGCGUGCUACACUGAUGCAUACAGCGAGUACUUUCCAGCUCCGCGAGGCAGCUGGUAAUCAGCAAUAUGCAUCGUGCUGGGGAUAGAUCUUUGGAAUUAUAGAUCUUGAACGAGGAAUUCCUAGUAAGCGCAAGUCAUUAGCUUGCGCUGAUUAAGUCCCUGCCCUUUGUACACACCGCCCGUCGCUCCUACCGAUUUCGAGUGAUUCGGUGAACCUUUUGGACAGCGUCUGUCCCCGUGUCAGAUGCUGAAAGUCAAGUAAACCAUAUCACUUAGAGGAAGGAGAAGUCGUAACA